rnacentral:rRNA from 1 species
UGGGGAAUAUUGCGCAAUGGGGGAAACCCUGACGCAGCGACGCCGCGUGCGGGAUGAAGGCCUUCGGGUUGUAAACCGCUUUUGAUUGGGAGCAAGCUUUCGGGUGAGUGUACCUUUCGAAUAAGCGCCGGCUAACUACGUGCCAGCAGCCGCGGUAAUACGUAGGGCGCAAGCGUUAUCCGGAAUUAUUGGGCUUAAAGGGCAUCUAGGCGGUAAGACAAGUUGAAGGUGAAAACCUGUGGCUCAACCAUAGGCUUGCCUACAAAACUGGUGAACUAGAGUACUGGAAAGGUGGGUGGAACUACAAGAGUAGAGGUGAAAUUCGUAGAUAUGUGUAGGAAUGCCGAUGAUGAAGAUAACUCACUGGACAGAAACUGACGCUGAAGUGCGAAAGCUAGGGGAGCAAACAGG